GAUGAACGCUGACAGAAUGCUUAACACAUGUAAGUCUACUUGAAUUUGGGUUUUUAACUUAGGUUUGGGUGGCGGACGGGUGAGUAACGCGUAAAGAACUUGCCUCACAGCUAGGGACAACAUUUAGAAAUGAAUGCUAAUACCUAAUAUUAUGAUAAUAGGGCAUCCUAUAAUUAUGAAAGCUAUAUGCGCUGUGAGAGAGCUUUGCGUCCUAUUAGCUAGUUGGUAAGGUAAAGGCUUACCAAGGCGAUGAUAGGUAGCCGGCCUGAGAGGGUGGGCGGCCACAAGGGGACUGAGAUACGGCCCUUACUCCUACGGGAGGCAGCAGUGGGGAAUAUUGGACAAUGGAGGAAACUCUGAUCCAGCAAUUCUGUGUGUGUGAAGAAGGUCUUCGGAUUGUAAAACACUUUUAGUUGGGAAGAAACAAAUGACGGUACCAA
rnacentral:rRNA from 1 species